CUUCUCUCUUAACGGUGUAUUUUGAUGCAAACCUAUUAAUGCAGCCCAAUUUGUCAGUCUUUCUUUAGGGUCAGUGCUUUUUUGUAUCCUGUUUUUUGUACCCUGUCUUUGCCUACCAAGGACAGGAAGAUAUGCUAUCUUCUAGAAGCUUUCUUUCACCUUUUAUUUUUAGUUUGAACUAUUAACUUUAAUAAUGUAAAUAUCAUGGCCUGGCUCGGUGGCUCACAUCUGUAAUCCCAGCACUUUGGGAGGCCAAGGGGCCUGGAAAACAUAGGAAGAUCCCAUCUUUACAAAAAUAAAAUUAAAACAUUAGUAGGGCAUGGUGGCAUGAACUUAUAGUCCCAGCUACUCAGGAGACUGAAAGAGGAGGAUCACUUGAGCCCAGGAAUUUAAGGAUACAGUGAGCUAUGACUGCACCACAGCACAGUCAGAGACAGACCCUGGGCAACAGAGCGAGACCCUGAAUCUAAAAAUAAUAAUAAUGAUAAUGGUAAUAAUAAUAAAAAUAUCAAUUUAAAGUUUUAUUCAUGAUCGUCUUAUUAAAAUAAAUUUAAUUGCA
rnacentral:lncRNA from 1 species